rnacentral:rRNA from 1 species
CCUACGGGAGGCAGCAGUGGGGAAUAUUGGGCGAUGGGCGCAAGCCUGACCCAGCAAUGCCGCGUGAAGGAAGAAGGCUUUCGGGUUGUAAACUUCUUUGACAGGGGAAGAGCAGAAGACGGUACCCUGAAAACAAGCCACGGCUAACUACGUGCCAGCAGCCGCGGUAAUACGUAGGUGGCAAGCGUUGUCCGGAUUUACUGGGUGUAAAGGGCGUGUAGCCGGGAAGGCAAGUCAGAUGUGAAAUCUGGAGGCUCAACCUCCAAAUUGCAUGUGAAACUGUUUUUCUUGAGUACUGGAGAGGCAGACGGAAUUCCUUGUAUAGCGGUGAAAUGCGUAGAUAUAAGGAGGAACACCAGUGGCGAAGGCGGUCUGCUGGACAGCAACUGACGGUGAGGCGCGAAAGCGUGGGGAGCAAACAGGAUUAGAUACCCGAGUAGUC